GACGAACGCUGGCGGCGUGCCUAAUACAUGCAAGUAGAACGCACAGUUUAUACCGUAGCUUGCUACACCAUAGACUGUGAGUUGCGAACGGGUGAGUAACGCGUAGGUAACCUGCCUGGUAGCGGGGGAUAACUAUUGGAAACGAUAGCUAAUACCGCAUAAUAUUAAUUAUUGCAUGAUAAUUAAUUGAAAGGUGCAAUUGCACCACUACCAGAUGGACCUGCGUUGUAUUAGCUAGUAGGUGAGGUAACGGCUCACCUAGGCGACGAUACAUAGCCGACCUGAGAGGGUGAUCGGCCACACUGGGACUGAGACACGGCCCAGACUCCUACGGGAGGCAGCAGUAGGGAAUCUUUGGCAAUGGACGAAAGUCUGACCGAGCAACGCCGCGUGAGUGAAGAAGGUUUUCGGAUCGUAAAGCUCUGUUGUAAGAGAAGAACGGGUGUGAGAGUGGAAAGUUCACACUGUGACGGUAGCUUACCAGAAAGGGACGGCUAACUACGUG
rnacentral:rRNA from 1 species